UACGAAGGGGGCUAGCGUUGUUCGGAAUUACUGGGCGUAAAGAGCUCGUAGGCGGUCUGUCGCGUCGGCUGUGAAAACCCGAGGCUCAACCCCGGGCCUGCAGUCGAUACGGGCAGACUAGAGUGCGGUAGGGGAGACUGGAAUUCCUGGUGUAGCGGUGAAAUGCGCAGAUAUCAGGAGGAACACCGGUGGCGAAGGCGGGUCUCUGGGCCGUAACUGACGCUGAGGAGCGAAAGCGUGGGGAGCGAACAGG
rnacentral:rRNA from 1 species